rnacentral:rRNA from 1 species
GACGAGCCGUGCGAACGUUAUUCGGAAUCACUGGGCUUAAAGCGCGUGUAGGCGGAUGGGGACGUCGGUCGCUGAAAUCCCCCGGCUCAACCGGGGAACGGGCGCCGAAACGCCCCGUCUCGAGGGACGUAGGGGGACCUGGAACUUCCGGUGGAGCGGUGAAAUGCGUUGAGAUCGGAAGGAACGCCCGUGGCGAAAGCGAGGUCCUGGACGUCUACUGACGCUGAGACGCGAAAGCUAGGGGAGCGAACGGG